UACGUAUUCCCUCCAUCCGAAAAUACUUGUCAUCAAAAUAAAUAAAAGAAGAUGUCUAAAUACAUCUUCUUUUAUUCAUUUUGAUGACAAGUAUUUCCGAAGGGAGGGGGUAUCAU
rfam:Triticum urartu cultivar G1812 contig1018764, whole genome shotgun sequence.